GACGAACGCUGGCGGCGUGCUUAACACAUGCAAGUCGAACGGAAAGGCCCUGCUUUUGUGGGGUGCUCGAGUGGCGAACGGGUGAGUAACACGUGAGUAACCUGCCCUUGACUUUGGGAUAACUUCAGGAAACUGGGGCUAAUACCGGAUAGGAGCUCCUGCUGCAUGGUGGGGGUUGGAAAGUUUCGGCGGCUGGGGAUGGACUCGCGGCUUAUCAGCUUGUUGGUGGGGUAGUGGCUUACCAAGGCUUUGACGGGUAGCCGGCCUGAGAGGGUUACCGGCCACAUGGGGACUGAGAUACGGCCCAGACUCGUACGGGAGGCAGCAGUGGGGAAUAUUGCACAAUGGGCGGAAGCCUGAUGCAGCAACGCCGCGUGCGGGAUGACGGCCUUCGGGUUGUAAACCGCUUUCGCCUGUGACGAAGCGUGAGUGACGGUAAUGGGUAAAGAAGCACCGGCUAACUACGUG
rnacentral:rRNA from 1 species